UACGUAGGGUGCAAGCGUUGUCCGGAAUUAUUGGGCGUAAAGAGCUCGUAGGCGGUCCGUCACGUCGGCUGUGAAAACCCGGGGCUCAACUCCGGGCCUGCAGUCGAUACGGGCGGACUAGAGUACUGCAGGGGAGACUGGAAUUCCUGGUGUAGCGGUGAAAUGCGCAGAUAUCAGGAGGAACACCGGUGGCGAAGGCGGGUCUCUGGGCAGUAACUGACG
rnacentral:rRNA from 1 species